rnacentral:lncRNA from 1 species
GGGCAGCAGUCUAAGCAGAGAUGCCCAGACUUCCCUCUCCCCAGACACUUCCUCCAGCUCUUCCGGGGGGACACCGAGGCGUUCCCAGGCCAGCCGGGAGACAUAGUCCCAAAAUAUAAAGAGGCGUUGAUCGCAGAGAAAGGACUGCAGCGCAAAGGACAGUUCAGUGCUCGUUGUUUUGUGCCCCGCCGCACUGCAAACUUGACGGACCUACAUGAGGACUGCGGACCGAUAACUUUAUUGUUGUGCUCGUGGGAAAUUCCUUACACUUUGGAGGUUGAUUUGUGGAUCAUCUGGAACGGAACGCAGCGUAGUUGUAUCUGUUUUCAAAGACCAUAAUGGCUGUGUUUCCUAGACAACUGGAUUUAACAUCGCCUUGACACCACAGUUUACAGCUGAACUCGAAGGACUCAAACAUCUCAUCAUUUCAUCUUUUUAUUCAGUUUUUCUUCCUGUGGAUUAUUCUAAUAACAC